AUGGCCAUACCACAUUGGAAACAUCAAUGCUCGUCCGAUCACCGAAGUUAAGUCAAUGUCAGGCCCGGUCAGUACUUGGGAGGGUGACCACCUGGGAACACCAGGUGCUGUAGGCU